CGGGGUAUGGCGCAAUUUGGUAGCGCGGCGACUUUGGGAGUCGAAGGUUGUGGGUUCAAAUCCUACUAUCCCGACCA
rnacentral:tRNA from 2 species